UGAGCUGGAUAUUUCUUCAGCUUCUUGGGC
rnacentral:piRNA from 1 species